UAUAAGGAGAGACAGCUUCAUCCUUUAUAACAAAUCUCACCCACCGAAAAGAAAAGGAUGGAUAUUGCAACACACAAUGGGGGAGCUUAGUAGAUAAAUUUUUUGCAAUCUAAUCCUUCCUAGAUAUACUACGGUCCUCCCAAAAAUAUAAAUUUGGCAAGGGCAUUGGCUAAUCCAAAUGUGGAACAUCCACAUGGAACAUCAGGACAUGACAACCAUGGAAUGAGUGUUCUUCAGUAACAUGUUUCUUUUUUUAUCAAGAUAAAGAUGUGAUUGUUUAUCCUUGGGAAACCUACACAAGUUUUUUUUAUCAACAAUUUAUUUUA